rnacentral:rRNA from 1 species
AUUGAACGCUGGCGGCAUGCCUUACACAUGCAAGUCGAACGGUAACAGGUCUUCGGACGCUGACGAGUGGCGAACGGGUGAGUAAUACAUCGGAACGUGCCCAGUCGUGGGGGAUAACUACUCGAAAGAGUAGCUAAUACCGCAUACGAUCUGAGGAUGAAAGCGGGGGACCUUCGGGCCUCGCGCGCUUGGAGCGGCCGAUGGCAGAUUAGGUAGUUGGUGGGAUAAAAGCUUACCAAGCCGACGAUCUGUAGCUGGUCUGAGAGGACGACCAGCCACACUGGGACUGAGGCACGGCCCAGACUCCUACGGGAGGCAGCAGUGGGGAAUUUUGGACAAUGGGCGAAAGCCUGAUCCAGCAAUGCCGCGUGCAGGAUGAAGGCCUUCGGGUUGUAAACUGCUUUUGUACGGAACGAAAAAGCUUCUCCUAAUACGAGAGGCCCAUGACGGUACCGUAAGAAUAAGCACCGGCUAACUACGUGCCAGCCGCCGCAGUAAUAC